GGGGGUAUAGCUCAAUGGUACAGCACCUGUCUAGCAUGCAGGAGACUAGGUUCAAUCCCUAGCAAGCUCC
rnacentral:tRNA from 1 species